GAUGAACGCUGGCGGCGUGCCUAAUACAUGCAAGUCGAGCGAACGGACGAGAAGCUUGCUUCUCUGAUGUUAGCGGCGGACGGGUGAGUAACACGUGGAUAACCUACCUAUAAGACUGGGAUAACUUCGGGAAACCGGAGCUAAUACCGGAUGAUAUUUUGAACCGCAUGGUUCAAAAGUGAAAGACGGUCUUGCUGUCACUUAUAGAUGGAUCCGCGCUGCAUUAGCUAGUUGGUAAGGUAAUGGCUUACCAAGGCAACGAUGCAUAGCCGACCUGAGAGGGUGAUCGGCCACACUGGAACUGAGACACGGUCCAGACUCCUACGGGAGGCAGCAGUAGGGAAUCUUCCGCAAUGGGCGAAAGCCUGACGGAGCAACGCCGCGUGAGUGAUGAAGGUCUUCGGAUCGUAAAACUCUGUUAUUAGGGAAGAACAUAUGUGUAAGUGACUGUGCACGUCUUGACGGUACCUAAUCAGAAAGCCACGGCUAACUACGUG
rnacentral:rRNA from 1 species